UCAAUCUCUCUGGUGUUCGUUCUCCUCAAUCUCUCGGUGGUUGUUCUCCUCAAUCGCGCCAUCACCAGCAUUGCUCCCGUAGCUUCCUUACCUUGAUUUGGUAUUCUAAUUUAGCUAGUGAAGAUUAGAGAGAGAAGAGGUCAUUUAUGGAAUUCAGGGAUGAUGACGAAUACGAAGAACUUUCUUCCGCUUCAUGGAGAGGGGAAGAAGAGGUCACCAGUUAGCAAGUUUGGAAAAUCUCAUCACAUGAUUCCGAUGAUUUGCUUAGAUCCCGAACUCCGUUAUAGUUUCCAGCGUAACUUCUAGGGAAAACAUAUGGCAAACAGAGCUGUUUUCAAUCCAACAUUCCCCCUAAAUCUAUGGUAAGGAUUGGGCUGGCUUAUGUUCUCUCUGCAGCGGUAGUUUAGUUGCUGCCUUGUUUCUAAACGACAAACCUUCUGUUACAUCUUCUGCUGCACUAUUUGGAUUGAUUGGCACUAUGCUUUCAGCUCUUGUUCAAAACUGGACAACUUACAACAAUAAGUUGACAGCUAUUGCAGUUUUAGUAUCUGUUUCGAUAAUCAAUAUUGUAAUGGGUUUGCUGCUGUUUUCUUUUGGGAUUUGUGCUGCUGUUUAAACAUCAACUUGGAAAAUGACUCAAGGAAAAUGUGCUUUCUUUGAGUAUGAAGUAAAAUCUUCUGCCAAGUUCAGGCAGAAGCUUGACAGACCCGUCUUAGGAGCACGAUUCUGUUUAUAUUCGUGGAAUUAAUGAUGGGGACUGCUGUGGCUGUUUGUUGUGGUGUUAAUAUAGGGGAGUAUUGUUGGUGGUGUAAAUAUUUGGAUUAUGUUCCUUCCAAAUGGUGGAGCUGUAAUGGAGAUCAAAUGAAGUGUGAGGUAUUGAUAUAGUGAUUUGGGAUUAAUAAUUAAUUAAUGAUUGAAAAUGUUUAUUCUAAAAAUGCAGAUGGGUGUGAGUACAUGGCAAUUGACACUAACUUGCAUGAGUAGUAGUGAUAGGUAUAUGGACUUUCCAUUCACCAAUAUACCACAAGCUAGUCCAGGAUUUGUGUGAUAUGAUAUGCUCCUCUCCUGUUUUAGGAUUCUUCCUUUUCUUUCUUUCUUUGUAUAAGAAUUUGUGACAAAUGACAUGCUCUUAGGUUAUCCAGCAGUUUAAUUUGACCAUAUACAACAGUUUUAUAUAGUUAUUGACAUGCUCUUGGAAAAUUGAUUAAAGAGGCUGAACAUCUGGACUGAUUUGUUUGCAGUAGAGAAAAUGUCACUGA